AAAAAUUCUGUUACUCACUGUGGGACCUUUAGGCAAGUUGUUUGAGGGCUGCCCAGAGCCUGCUGAAUUCAAUCGACAGACUGCCCUUUGGAUUAAGCCCAUUAAAACCCAGGGAAGCAGUCACCCUGAUGCACGCUGGAAUCCAGCCGGCCUAUAUGACGAAUUAGUUGCUUCUCAAAAGGGGAGAGGUCAGGUUGGCAGCUUUCCCAUGGCAAUGGAAAUGCCCCAAGAUUCAGCACGAGGCCAGCUCUGCUCAGAGUUGCGUGCCAGCUGUGGGAACGAGGAGUCACUAGCCUUCCUGUGACGGCUGUUUUGGGAAAUGGGGAAGACCCUGUGAUGUCUGCACAAGAACAUCUCACCAUUUCAUGCCAUACGUUGCCAAUGGCGGUUCUGAAUUUUGCCCGUUGUGUCUGAACAUAGCUCCAGUAAUAUC
rnacentral:lncRNA from 1 species